rnacentral:rRNA from 1 species
AGUGAACGCUGGCGGUAGGCCUAACACAUGCAAGUCGAACGGCAGCACAGUAAGAGCUUGCUCUUACGGGUGGCGAGUGGCGGACGGGUGAGGAAUACAUCGGAAUCUACUUUUUCGUGGGGGAUAACGUAGGGAAACUUACGCUAAUACCGCAUACGACCUACGGGUGAAAGCAGGGGAUCUUCGGACCUUGCGCGAUUGAAUGAGCCGAUGUCGGAUUAGCUAGUUGGCGGGGGAAAGGCCCACCAAGGCGACGAACCGUAGCUGGUCUGCGAGGAUGAUCAGCCACACUGGAACUGAGACACGGUCCAGACUCCUACGGGAGGCAGCAGUGGGGAAUAUUGGACAAUGGGCGCAAGCCUGAUCCAGCCAUACCGCGUGGGUGAAGAAGGCCUUCGGGUUGUAAAGCACUUUUGUUGGGAAAGAAAAGCAGCAGGUUAAUACCCCGCUGUUCUGACGGUACCCAAAGAAUAAGCACCGGCUAACUUCGUG